rnacentral:rRNA from 7 species
AACUUCUGAAUGUUGACCUCGGAUCAGGUAGGAAUACCCGCUGAACUUAAGCAUAUCAAUAAGCGGAGGAAAAGAAACCAACAGGGAUUGCCCUAGUAACGGCGAGUGAAGCGGCAACAGCUCAAAUUUGAAAUCUGGCUCUCGGGCCCGAGUUGUAAUUUGUAGAGGAUGCUUUUGAUGCGGUGCCUUCCGAGUUCCCUGGAACGGGACGCCAUAGAGGGUGAGAGCCCCGUCUGGUUGGAUGCCAAAUCUCUGUAAAGCUCCUUCGACGAGUCGAGUAGUUUGGGAAUGCUGCUCUAAAUGGGAGGUAUAUGUCUUCUAAAGCUAAAUACCGGCCAGAGACCGAUAGCGCACAAGUAGAGUGAUCGAAAGAUGAAAAGCACUUUGAAAAGAGAGUUAAAAAGUACGUGAAAUUGUUGAAAGGGAAGCGUUUAUGACCAGACUUGGGCUUGGUUAAUCAUCUGGGGUUCUCCCCAGUGCACUUUUCCAGUCCAGGCCAGCAUCAGUUUUCGCCGGGGGAUAAAGGCUUCGGGAAUGUGGCUCUCUCCGGGGAGUGUUAUAGCCCGUUGCGUAAUACCCUGGCGGGGACUGAGGUUCGCGC